CCAUGGCGGUGUAGGUGGAAGCAGCGGUGGAGGAGGAUGAGGUAACCAACACUAUUUUUAUAUAUAUAUAUAUAUAUAUAUAUAUAUAUAUAUUUUUUUUUUUAAUUGGGGUAGCCCCCAAAAUAUUGGGACAAAUAAAAAAAGACAACUCUGUUCCGCAGAGUAGCUGUUGACAUUAUAGUUGCGCAGGCACUUUGUUGUCUCUAGAAAACCUCAGGCCAAUCGCACAUUCUGAUGACGGCGACUUUGCAUUCGGAUGUCAUCCAUAACAACUUUCGAUGCCAGUUUCUGCGCCUACCCUGGUGACCAUGGGUAACAGGGAAUCGGGGUUCCAUUCUGUACAGGGACUCUGAGAAAUGGCUACCACAUGCAAGGAAGGCAGCAGG